AAUCUCAGAAUAGAAACUUAACAGAGUUAGAUAGUGGACUUUACCUGAAGUAGAGUCAAACUUAUUGACUUUAACAUCCUUAGGUAAAUUUGGCAGCUUCGCAACCAAUGCCCCUUCCUUUGGCAAUAUAAACAUAUGGACCCUUUGAUAAUGGUACACGAGACUAUCACAGACUUAGCUUUUCUCUUUACCAUUUGGUCAACCGAGUUGACUAUGGCCGAUCCCUUUCCAUUGGGAAGAGAAUGCUUUACUGGAUAUCCAAUGUCAUCAUUGUCAAUGUCCAUAAAGUUUUAGGAAGUUGAUCUUAGCAAAUAGAUAAGAUCAUUAAGGGUCUUGUCAUAGUCUGUUUCAUAGGUGUCCCAAAGGAACUCACUAUGUGACUUAGAAAGUGAUUGAACCACCAACUUUCUCAAGACUUUGACACCCAACUCUCCCGGCUUGUCAAUAUGUGACUACAUCUCCAAGAUGUGAUCACACCUAGACCUUGCCUUGCCAAUAGGGCUUGAGUGACCUUAAACUUUUCAAGAACUUGUGGGUUAGGGAGAAUAAUUGGAGGAGGAGAAAGAAGUAUGAUAUCCAUGGGACAUCAUCUUCAUUAGGAAACCUUGUUUCAAGAGAUUUGGGAAGAUCAUAGGUGUCUAAACCAGACAUCUUUUGGGAGAUAUUCAAGAUAGUUGAUUUAAAGUCCUUAAUAUGACACCCAAUAUGAAAUAUUAAGGCUAGGACCCAACAAACUAUUUUAUAACUUAGAAGAGGUAUGCCGUAAUCCAAGCUAUAAAAUAUUUGAAGGUAGGUGAAUGACGAUUCACCAAUUUCCACCAAGAUAAACGAAAUGUAUUAUUAGGUUUUAAUUGGUUUUGAAACUCCUAGAUCUUUGAGAUUCAUUGAACUGUUCAAAGGCAUGUUUCAAUCUCGAGUGUGCCCUUCAGGUUUUGUGACUGGGAUGCCGAGGAUCACAAAACAAGGUGUGAAGUAACCAUGCAAAUCACUUGGUACCCUUAAUAAAUUACCCCUCAAUCGAUGUGCCGGUUAACCACACACGCUCCAUCGAUACUAUGAUAAAUAUUAAGUCACCCUUUACCUACCUUGUUAAGUCCAAGUUAGUGUGCCGGUUAACCACACACGCUCCACUAACGACUUAGACAAAGUGUAAAGUGUAAUUUCAUGGAUUAGCACCUUAUUCACAUUUUUCCUAAGUAACUAAGAUUGGGUAUUAUUAAGAGUUUAGUUACUUAGUAUUAUCAUUAAUACUUUUAAUGAAGGGAGAAUUCUAGUCCUGUCAAACCCGUUCGGCUAACGACCCUCCACCAGUCAAGCAAGCGGUGGGUGAGAGUGGACACCCAUUAAGUUGCCAUUUUAUAGGCAACAACCUUAUACCCACCUUAUAGACCGGCUUCGUGAAUGAGGCGUACUAGCGGUAAGACUGACUUUACUCUUAUACAUAUAUAUAUUAUUAACUUAUAAUAUUAUAAAGUAUAAGGGUUGAAUUUUAACUUUUAAAAUUCUAAGGGCUAACUUGGAAUUAAAGUAUUCAUAAGUGAAAACUUUACAAAUUCCAAAACUUGAGGGCAAGUUUUGAAACUAUUCAAAACUAAUUAAUUCCAUAACUUAUGUGUUUAAAGUAGUUUUAAUCCAAAAACUCUUCAAGUUCCAUAACUUGAGGACAAGUUAUGGAAGACUUUAAACUAAUAAAAGAAUUAACUUUUCUUUAUUUUAUAACUUAUGGAAUUAAUUAAGGUUACACUUUUUUUUUUUUUAUUUUAUUUUAUUAAAUGAAGAGACUCUUGGUCCUCCAUAACUUGAGGACAAGUUAUGGAGUCAUAAAACCAUUUAAUUAGAACUAGACUCUUCAUUUUUGUAACCUUUGCCAAUUUUUAUGAGUUUUAUGAUUCUUAAAUGUGACUUUUCAUAUAACUUGAGGACAAGUUACAAAAACACAUUUUAGAAUCAAUUCUUAGAUUAAUUUGGAUUAAAACCAACUAUCACAUAAUUUUAUUCAUUAAUCUAAAUUCACUCAUAAAACAAGGUAACACAAAAAACUUUUGGUGAUCCAUAACUUAUUCUUAAGUUAUGGAAUCCUUUAAAACAUUAACACCAAAUUUUGUAACUCCAAAAAAACUUUGAAUCAAUUUUUUUUUUAAAACCUUUUCAUAUCCAUAACUUAUGGAGGUUUCAAAAAAUAAAACUCUUUAGAUCAAACUUUUAAAACUAAUAAAAUAAUCAUAUUAUUUUAUCUUUUAUUAAAUUUGACCUAAUUCAACUCAUAAAGCAAAUUAUUCAAAUUUUACAAAUAAUUAGUUUUUCACAAGAACAAGUAAUUAUCUUAAAAUUUGACAAACUUCAUGUUUUUUUUUUUUUUUUUUUUCAACUUUGAAAAUAAAAUAUUUGCAUCAAUAUAACAGAAAACAACCCGUGGCUCUGAUACCACUGUUGGGUUUUGAGCAUUCUAACACUUCCUAAGUGUACAUGCAACCCUAAAUACCUUGGAUCUAUGUUUUCUCUAUUAUACAUGCAAAUAAGAACUUCCAAGGUAUUAUCCUAAUCUAGCAUACAAAACAAUAACUAUAGCAAGAUAGAAUACAUACCUCUUUGGUGUAGAAAGUCUUCAUGAAGCUUGAGUGCCUAGUGCCCCAAGUGUGACACCUCAAAUGGAAUCACAAUCAUCAAAACACUUAGAAUGACUUGAGAGAAUUCUACACUCAUCAAAAUCGGCUAGCCCUUUCUUCACUAUCUCUAGUGGCCGAUUUUUCCUCAAUAAUAAGAUGCUUAUAUAGUUACACAAUUAGGGUAAACUCUUAAUUGUCAUGGCUUUCCAUUUCCUUGGAUCCAUGGGUACAAAUACACCAUGGAGCAUCCAUGGACCAUCCUAUGGGUUUUAGCCCAACUUGAUUAUCCAUGGAGCAUUAGCCCACUAUACAAGUAUGGAUGAUUUACACAAUCAACCCAUAUAUUUAAUUAGUCUUCUUUUGAUCACUUAAUUAAUCCUAGAUUAAUUCUUGAUCAAUACUAAUUAAAUAAUCUUAUUAUUCUUAUUAUUAAUAUACUAGAACUUAUAAUAUAUUAAUAACCAUAAGUGUCUUAUUUCUCUCAUUAUAGUCUAUCCAAGUGCAUGAUGGUAUGCAACCCAAAUGGACCAUGCCGGGUCGGGUCAAGUCUUACCAAUUAUAGUUAUGGACUUAGACAUUAAUCCAACAGUCUCCCACUUGGAUAAGUCUAAAACUAUUAUUGCGUAUGACUUCAGGAACCAACUGGCAAUCGUAGCUCUCAAAAGCUUCUGUCGAACUCUGACCUUGUAGAUGAACUCUGACCUUUGUCAAUGACUUGUCCAUUAGAUAAGGGAUCAUAUAUUCCUCCAUUCUAGAUAUCAUAUGGACUGAGACAUGGAUUAUAAUCAUUCUCUCUGUCCAUUUGUUGUUUCCCGAUUUCCGAUUUAUGACGACUGACUAAUUGAACAAAUCAAAUCAGUCCUGGCCCGGCCGAGCACUUCCAUUUGUCAUCAUCAAAUCAUCGAGGGGCCCACAGAUAUCGCUUUUAUCCCGAAGGUAAAAGGAACGGAUAAACUUCGACUCAUAUGGCUUGUUCUACUACUUGUUGAAUCAUACACAAAGGCACGUUUUAUAGCACCGAGUUACCAAAUGCGUUUUCGUGCAAUCAAUGUACUAUCAACUCAUAGUAACAACUCAUAUCUCUAGGUUUGAAGAAUAUAAGAUAUUAUCGUCUCAUGAUCACUCGUGAUAAAAUCCAUGAAGUGAUUCCAAUGAGCGCGGGUUGAAUCCAAUACUCAGAACUUAUGAGCACUCAUGAGUGUUGUAGCCCUUUGUCCAACACCUUAGACCUCUACAAGCCAACCCAUGACAGUCUUAAUUCAUAUCUACUUCCAACAUAUGACCGACUGUGGAUGGUUUGAAUAACUUAGUCAUUCCGGAAGAAUAACCUAGUUUAUUCGGGAAGUCAAAACAUGCAAAGUGAAACACAAUAAUAAUUGAAUCCAAUAUGGUAUCAACCCUUUGAACAUAAAUAAAACACCUUUUAUUUAUCACCAUAUGAUUACACAUUAUUCAUUGUAUACUGUUUCAGCUAUCAACUUUAUUCUUGAAUUUAAAACAAUAGUUGUCCCAUGCUCCAAGCAUGUACACUAUGUUUUCUUAAACACUAGUCAUGCCACACACCAAGUAUGCAUACUAUGUUUGUCUAUGAUCUUUACUUUGUGAACUAGAUCAAUUGAACAUAACUUCAAUGAUUCUCUUUUCACACUCCCAAAUCCUUACUGCAAAUGCAAGAAUUCCAAAUUCAUGCCAUUUACUGAAAUCUGUUAGAUUCUAAACUUAUAUGCAUUGAUCCUCUUGUAAUGAUUAUGCACAAAGUCAGAAAGACUUGACAACAAUCAUUACAGAGUAUUCCAAAGGAGAUCAGCUCCUUGGAAACAUCCUUCUUGCAUUAAGUUUCCUAAUCUUAAACAGAUUGAAAAUUCUAACUUUGAAACAUUUCCAGAUUCCAUUUUGACUAUCACUUCUGAACAAGAGUUGCCUCCUUACAGAUUAUGUCAAUAUGGUCCUUCCAGAAUUAUCACUAUACUUCCAACUGUCCUUGAGCAACCAAUCUUUGGUAAACCUUAGAUUGUCCUCGACAAUUGUUUAAUCCUUUUAGUCAUAUCCAGUUCUAAACCUUUUCCCUUCUUAAUGCCCCAGGCAUUUGGAAAAUUUUAGAACGGAUGAAUAUAGCACAUGUAAUCGAUCCUAUAUCCGAAGCAUAUGGGACACGAUUCAUGAUGUCUUACAUAAAGACUAAACCAGUCUUUUGCUAUAAUAUUUCCAUUUCAAUUUGCCAAGUUCUCAUAAUUCAGAUUAUGAAAAGGGAUGCCGUAAUCAUAAUCGAAUUUUAGAACGCAAAUAAUGGACCCAUAUACAGAAUUUCCUUAUGUUGAGCCAUUCCAACAUGAAAUUCAUAUAUAUCCUUGACUAAAUGAUUAAAACCUCACGAUCUAAGCUUAUAGAUUUGAGAUGAAGUAUAAUUUCCUCUCCCUUAAUUAUAGCAAAACAACUUUUUCCCAAUUGAAACUUUUGUUUUCUAUAAUUAACAUUGCUAACUUGCAAUACUUAUCAUAAUUAUCAUGCUCCCACUAACAUGAUGAUUAUUAGCAUAACACUUAUGCUCCCACUAGCUUUGACAUGUACUCAGAAAUCAGCUGGACUUCUAGAAAUCAAUACUUCAUUGACUUUCUUACCAAAGUUCAGAUUUCUGAUGCUAGAUUGUUUUGAUAAAACUUUAUCAAAAUCAUACACCUUCCCUUAGAUAGCACACUUGUGUAUCUAAACAAUUAUGAAGAGGGAUGCCGUAAUCAUAAUGUUUAGACCUUUUUGCCACUUCUCACAAGUCCAAGUUAGUGUGCCGGUUAACCACACGCGCUCCACUAACGACUUUGAGAAUGCAAAUAUCACAAUUGCUAUCUAGCUAAAAUCUACUUAGUGAAAGUGUUUCCUCACCAUCAUUUUCAUGAAUCGGAGAGAAACCUUAUGACACUUAGAUUUAAUGGUGUAUGUGUUCUUAUCCAUGUGAAUUGUCAAAACCAUAGUCACAAGACAAGGAUAAUGACAAAUCCAAACUCAUAUGGACUGAACUCAAUCUUAAUUUCUUGCCACCUGGCAGCUCAAGGGCCUACCAUUGCUUCCAAGUUGUUGUGCAACAAAUUGAGAACUCUAAGAACUCAUAUGCAAAGCCAACUUUAACUGGAAUGGGCACAGAAUAUGUCAACACGAUAGGUUAUGAACCUCAAGUCGUGUGCUAGUGAAGAACUUCAGGUUUUAUUCUUGAUUAGUUCUUGAGACUUUCAAGACCUUUAAGACUCCCACUGUCCUCUUGACAUAUAAGACUCCCUUGUCAAACAUCCAAGAGAUAGUGCGGAUUCUAAUCAAGAAAAACACUUUACCCAAUUGGCCUAAGUUGGUCUUUGUUUUAUCCAAAACAUCACAACUUACCAAUUUCAAAUGUACAAGAGUAGAAAACUUUUACUCUUACAUUUGACAAGUGUUUUAAACCUUCUUUAAGACAUGUCACUCAAAUGACAAUCUUGGAGUAUGACUCUAAGACUUGUAUUGGAACGAAGUAUGACUCAUCUUCUUGAUUUAACCAUUUCAACAAUUCAAGUUCCUCUUCUUAGUCAUAAGAAUGCACUAAGAUUUCCUUAGAGAACUAAUUUUGAUAUGGUUUCUUAAUCAUUAAGAUGAUCACAAAACUGAUACUAAAGUACUCUCCCAUCUUUUCAGAUUUGAGAAACUUUUAUCCUUCUGCCUUAUUUGAUUCUUCUUAUCGAUCUUUAGUGGUGGACUUAAUCAGUGCACAAGAAUGUGUACUCGAUCCCUAAGUCCUUUACUUGACUCACACAUCCAUGUGAACAAGUAAUUAGUCUUAAUUUUCCAAAACUUGAAAGUUCUCAUUCAUCAUGCUAUACAACUUGCAUGAUUCCAAGUUCCGGUCCAAUUGAAACUUGGGUGAUGAGAAUCUUUCCUUAUUUGGUAAAUUUAGACAUUACCACAAAUGAAAGAAUCAAUUUCAUACUUCCACUCUUGCUACUAAUGGAAUCUUAUAAGCAACAAAAAUUUCCACAGAUGCCAUUGUAAGGAUAUUUUAAAAUAAAUAAAAUCAAAAAUUUCCUUUUAUUUUAAAACUUUGCGGAAAAACUAUCCUUACAAUCCAUAUGAAAACUUGUUGUUAUCUAUUCCUAAGCAAUAUCUCAUAACUCCUAAGAAGUAGCUCAAGAAUCCGAUUUUUCAAACUAUGCGAUAGAAAUCCAUCUAUGCGAUCAGAUUCAGCAUAUUCUUCCUUUAAGUUUCUUCACUUUCCUUUGAUUCUUAAACCAUCACCAUGCGACCCGGUCACAUCAUGUAUCAAGAAUCUCAGAAUAGAAACUUAACAGAGUUAGAUAGUGGAUUUUACCUGAAGUAGAGUCAAACUUAUUGACUUUAACAUCCUUAGGUAAAUUUGGCAGCUUCGCAACCAAUGCCCUUUCUUUGGCAAUACAAACAUAUGGACCCUUUGAUAAUGGUACACAGGACUAUCACAGACUUAGCUUUUCUCUUUACCAUUUGGUCAACCGAGUUGACUAUAGCCGAUCCCUUUCCAUUGGGAAGAGAAUGCUUUACUGGAUAUCCAAUGUCAUCAUUGUCAAUGUCCAUAAAGUUUUAGGAAGUUGAUCUUAACAAAUAGAUAAGAUCAUUAAGGGUCUUGUCAUAGUCUGUUUCAUAGGUGUCCCAAAGGAACUCACUAUGUGACUUAGAAAGUGAUUGAACCACCAACUUUCUCAAGACUUUGACACCCAACUCUCCCGGCUUGUCAAUAUGUGACUACAUCUCCAAGAUGUGUUCACACCUAGACCUUGCCUUGCCAAUAGGGCUUGAGUGACCUUAAACUUUUCAAGAACUUGUGGGUUGGGGAGAAUAAUUGGAGGAGGUGAAAGA
rnacentral:lncRNA from 1 species